UCUAGACUGCCAGAUAGGCUCAAGGCAAGGGCGAGGUGGGGUGGACUGCAUAGCUCACUGUAGUAGUAGACCACCAACGUUGUUCUCGUAGCGAGGUCAUGUCCGAGUAGUUAUAGUAGUUGUUGCACUAGUAGUUCCAUCGGCAUCAUAUAGAUAGAUAGAGCGGGGAUGGGACACGAGCGUUGGUGGCCCAUCAACUUGCAUUAAUAGUCUAUAUUCUAAUAGUAUAUGCUUCAGUGAUGCCAUUGGCUCUGGUAUAGUGGAGUAGAGAAACGACAGAUGUUCAGCGACCAUAUGCGAGAUAAAAACACCGAUCGUUGACCCCCCCGGCCAUGAUCCAUCGAAGUAGCUAGUAGCCGUAGUAGAUGUUAGAGUCGUCCCCACAAGAGCUGUCAGCAUCGGGAGUAGGAGCAGUUGAUCCAUUCAUUCCCCCGGCACAGAUAGUAGAUCGGAGCUGGUCUUGGCUUGUUCCCAGAGCUAGCUAUAUAGUAGUGGCUGGCGUAAUCCAACCGGGUAGUGCAAGUUCAAUUGAUAGUAGUUUCCGAGGGUGAAAUGAAGCCACCGAUCCCCCAGUUCCAUGUUCGCAUAUCUCGAUAGCCGCUUGACUCAUGUCUAUUAUUGCCUUCGAGCUCCCCACGUGGCCUCGCUCCCACCACCAGCUGAGGGAAUGAAUGGGUCUGGUAGUCUACGUUGCAGCUAGUAGUUCAGUCGUCGUAGUAGGCUAGAAGCUAGGGAUGUUCGAGCAGCAUAGAAUGGGACCGGCCCGAUUCGACUCAUACCAGACUAGGCCCUCCAGGGUAGCGGUUCGAUCUAGGGCAAGGUUGGGUCCAGAGCUCUCGCCAUUGAGUAGUCGGUUGCCUAGUAGUUGAUAUAGUAGUAGCAGUAGUAGUGGAGUUGAAAGAGACAUGAGAGCAACCUCUCCGCGUUUCUGUUCCAAUGAGCCUGUUCCCAACUACUAGUAAUUUGUUCAGUUUUUAGUAAAUCGCAACCACCACCCUCCACCCCAAUGUUGUUCAUGAAUCGGAGUACUGGAUCGAUAUAGCCAAUAGCAGUUCAACUAGCAGCCUAGCAUCCCAAGUAGUACAUCAACGAGCAUAAUAGUAGUAGAGUGCCUUCGGGAGGAAGCAGAAACCGGAAGGCAUAGUAGCAACAUGGCAGCUAGUGGAGCGGGAGACCGGAAGGCAAGCAGCUCAUAAAGUGUUCAUUGUAUAUAUAUAGAGUAGUGGCGUUGAUCGCAGUCAAGUACAUGGCCCUAUACUACUAGUGAGCUUGUUGGGGCUGGUCGGGUCGGG
rnacentral:lncRNA from 1 species